UACUCACCGCCAUUGUCUGUUCUUAGAAUUU
rnacentral:sRNA from 1 species